rnacentral:rRNA from 1 species
GAUGAACGCUGGCGGCGUGCCUAAUACAUGCAAGUCGAGCGAACGGACGAGAAGCUUGCUUCUCUGAUGUUAUCGGCGGACGGGUGAGUAACACGUGGAUAACCUACCUAUAAGACUGGGAUAACUUCGGGAAACCGGAGCUAAUACCGGAUAAUAUUUUGAACCGCAUGGUUCAAAAGUGAAAGACGGUCUUGCUGUCACUUAUAGAUGGAUCAGCGCUGCAUUAGCUAGUUGGUAAGGUAACGGCUUACCAAGGCAACGAUGCAUAGCCGACCUGAGAGGGUGAUCGGCCACACUGGAACAGAGACACGGUCCAGACUCCGACGGGAGGCAGCAGUAGGGAAUCUUCCGCAAUGGGCGAAAGCCUGACGGAGCAACGCCGCGUGAGUGAUGAAGGUCUUCGGAUCGGAAAACUCUGUUAUUAGGGAAGAACAUAUGUGUAAGUAACUGUGCACAUCUUGACGGUACCUAAUCAGAAAGCCACGGCUAACUACGUG